rnacentral:rRNA from 1 species
CAUCCUACGGGACGCAGCAGUGGGGAAUAUUGGACAAUGGGGGAAACCCUGAUCCAGCGACGCCGCGUGAGUGAAGAAGUAUUUCGGGACGUAAAGCUCUAUCAGCAGGAAAGAAAAUGACGGUACCUGACUAAGAAGCCCCGGCUAACUACGUGCCAGCAGCCGGGGUAAUACGUAGGGGGCAAGCGUUAUCCGGAUUUACUGGGUGUAAAGGGAGCGUAGACGGCAGCGCAAGUCUGGAGUGCAAUGCAGUG